CCAAAUUUUAAAACAUAAUAAACACUCUCCAAAGAUAUAUUACAAUGGGCCAGCUACUAAAAACCAUCAUAACAGGGCAAUUGUGAAACUCCAAAUGAAACCUAAUGUUUGAAUGCAUCGCAUAAGAACAUAUUAUAAAAUGGAGAUUCUUAAGGGGAUUUCCACAAUACCUACUAAAGAAUGCAUUAAUCUCAGUUUGCUGGCUUGAUUUUUUUUUUUUGCGGGGGGGGGGUGUCUUCUUGUUCUGCUUAUGUGUAUCAGCUCAGUCCAAAUCUAAAUUAACUUGCAUGACAUCAAAUAGUCUCAAAAAUAUCCUCUUGCAAAAGUUCUCACUUAUAAAUGGUAUGUCCUCAGAAAUAAGACGGUAUUAACAGCCAGUAGAAAGUAUUACGAGCCUCACCAAGAGGUAUGCUUCACUGGAGUCAAGUGUAGCACUACCACGGACACAAGGAAAGACACCCAGGGGUGGUUUGGGAAAUUUACUUUAAAUUAUACCAAUGUGUUUUGAACUAACAUUCUUUCUUAAAAGCAAAAAUUAAGGAUAGAAUUCCAAUAAAAUUGGUCAAAAUCACUGAACUUAGACAAGAAAUAAUCUUUUAAAUCACUUAAUUUAUGUUCUUGGCGAACAGGACAGUCAUUUAAUAAAGAAACUGGAACCUGUCUGCUUUUUCAAGAAUUUAGAAAGAAAUGAUAAUUUACUUUUAAAUGAUAAACUUUUAAACUGUUAAUGACUUUUCUCGAACCCUCAACCCCACUAACUCAAAUUUUAUUUGUGACUGCACAUAUAAAACUAUGUUGCCAUUUAUGUAAUAUUAUAUUGAGUAUAGAAAAAAGAAUCACAACUAUAGCAGCUUAAAACAUAAUAAUUAUUAUACUCUAUAUUAUGGUUUUAGUGAUUGGUCUCAAAGUCAUUUCUAUCAAAGUUCCUUUUCUGUUGAUUUUUUUAAAAAAUUAAUUCAUUACUUCUUUAUUAGAGUAUAUUUUCUGAUUGCCCGUAUAAUAGUUUCAGUAUAAACAGAGAAACAGAAAAAAUACAAAUGAAAACAAGAAAUUUUCCCCACCAUACACACAGACAAAUCACUAACAUUUAGAAUUGUAUCCUUUCAAACAUGGUUUCAAUGCAUAUAAGCACGCAUUAAGUUUUAAAAAACAUAUCAGCAUAGAGUACAUCCCCGAUAAACUGUAAAUCACAAGUAAUUGCCCUUGUUAGCAAAAGUUUUUAAAAAAAUGUUUUUAAGAGCUGCAAAUUUUAUAUUCCUGGAAUAUAUAAUAAUUUAUUUUAAAAUUUUUUGUUUAUUUAUUCAUGAGAGACAGAGAGAGAGAGAGAGAGAGGCAGAGACACAGGCAGAGGGAGAAGCAGGCUCCAUGCAGGGAGCCCAUGUGGGACUCGAUACCCAGUCUCCAGGAUCAUGCCCUGGACUGAAGGUGGCGCUAAACCGCUGAGCCACCCAGGCUGCCCAAUAUAUAAUAAUUUAUUUAACUAAUUUUUAAAUAUUCUCAGGCAUUUAGGUUUCUUCUAAUUUUUCACUAUUAUAAUUUACAUUACUGUGAAUAUCUUUUAUAUACUUUUUAUAUUCGUUAUUUCUUAGAUAUAGAAUUGCUAUGUCACAAGGGCCAAGAUGUUUAAUGCUUUGAUAUAAUUGCCCAAUUCCUCCAGAGAGACAGAAAUUAUACCUUUUCCCACCUGUAUCAUCAUAGUCCAGCCAUGUUGGAGAUGAUCAUUGCGUUAGAUAGCCUCUAAAAUGGUGUCCAAUGAUUCUCUCCCCUUCAGAGUAGGGUGCACUUAGUGUCUUGGUUCUAACGAAUAGAACAUAGCAGAAAUGAUGGGCUAUCACUUCAGAGACUGAGUUAUAAAAAGACUAUUUCCAUCUUGUUCUCUCUCUCUCUCUCUCUCUCAUCACUUAAUGCUGAGAAAAGCAAGCAUCCGUGUUGUUGGAAGUCCAGUGGAGAGGCAGGCAGGGGAUGAGUUUGAAAGAGACUCCUUUGGCUUCAGUUCAAUCUUUCAAGGCAACAUCAUAAAAAACCUUGAGCCAGAACCAACCCUGAGCUACCCCAGAUGCUUGACUCACAGAAACUGUGAGAAACAGUCUGUUAUUUUAAGCUGCUGAUAGUUAGGGGAAGUUGUUCAGUAGCCAUAAUUGUAACUAAGAUAAUCAUUUUUUUCUAUCUUUACUGAUUUGCUGUAUCAAUAGAAAGUUUGAACAUUGUUUUCCCUUGCUUCAUUGACCAUUUAUAGUUAUUUUAUUAAAAGUGAUUUGUCUUAUUUUCCCUUUUCCUUAUUAAUUCAUGAGAGCUAACUAUGUAUAAAAGGUGCAUCUUUAACCGUCAUAUGUUGCAAAUAUUGUUUUCUCAGUUUUCCAGUUUGUUUAUACUUUUCUGGACACUGUUGUUGUUGACAUGAAAGUCUUUCAAAUUUUUUACUCUAUCCAUAUUUCCAUUUAUAGUUUCUUCUUUUGUGUUUAUGCAAAGAAAAUCUUCCCCCCAAGUUAAAUACAUAUCCACCUAUAUUUUCUAUUAGUUUUAGCUAAUAAAAUAAUAAACAUGUAACCAUUUAAUCUAUUAAAAUUAUAUUUGUAUGAUAUGAGGUAAAAAUAGACCUUUUACUUUCCAAAUACAUUUCUGAUGGUUCCAUAAAUAUUUAUUUAGUAGGAUUUUCUCAAAUGGGUUUAAAUUCUGUCUUUAUAUAGUAAAUUCUUAGAGUAGCAGUUCUCAAGGUGUGGUCCAUGGAUCUCAGGAAUUUCUUAGAAAAUGUCACAGCCUCCACAAGUUUAAAACUAUUUCACUUGUCUUAACUUUUGCACUGAAGCAAAGUCUAUGGCAGGUGGAACUUUGGGAUGCCUUAGCACCAGUCAAGGCAGUUUUAACACAUAUGUGCUAGGAAUCAUUGUAUUCUUCAUGUCCACACACUUGCACUUAAGAAGGCAAGCCAGCUUGCUUAAAAAUAACUUUGAAGAAGCCACAAAAAUUGUUAAUCUUAGUGAAUUCCAACCCGUGAGGGGCUCCCUUGAGGGGCUUCCAACUCCUGAUUUUGGCUCCGGUCAUGAUCUCAGGGUUGUGAGAUCAAGCUUGGUUAGGGCUCCCUUCUCAGUGGCAAGUCUGCUUCUCUGCCUCUCCCUCUUCCCCUUCCUUGGUACACGUGUGUGUCUAUGUGUGUGCACACACAUGUAUGCUCUCUCUUUCUCUCAAAUAAAUAAAUACAUCUUUAAAAAAAUUAAAAAAUAGAAUCUCAAACCUUGAUAUUCAACCUUUUAAUAUUCUGUGUGACAUAAUAGAAAGUACACCUAAAAUACGUCUACUGUAUAGUGAAAAUGAUAGUUGUUUUGAGGAAAAACAUUUGUGCAAUUGUUUUAAUUGAGAGCUUCUUCAUGAAACACAUUUUACUUGAAAAAAUAACUGGAUAGACAAAUAAGGGUCAUUUUGACUCAGGUACCCAGCAGACAUUUUCUUGAAAAUGAACUAAAUGAACUAAAUGGACCUGCCACUUUAAGGAAAAACAAUUUAAAGUAUUGCCACAUGUAAAUUUUUAGCUUUCAAGUGAAUGUUAGAAUUUUGGGAAACUUGUAACUAACAUCAUAAUUUUGACAGCCUCCCAAUACUUAAAGAUCUUUCUGAUGAGAUCAGUGAUAAUAAUAACAAAUGUGAUUUUUUAACAUUGUGUGAUAAAAUCUGUCAGCAUGUAGAACAUCUGUAUAACUCAAUUCAAAGCCAAAACAGAAAAAUGUAUUGUAGGGUACAAGAGAUUCAUUUAAUGAUAAGGCUUCAGAUUUUAGAUUGCAGCUAAUCUUUAAGAAACUACCAUGUGGUGAAUCCUAGUUUAGCAUCAGAGAAACAUACUGACAGUUCUCCCAUUAUUUAACUAUACAUUUGUGUGAGGCCAGAUUUGCCUAAUAAACAUUAACCAAAACAACAUACGGCAACUAACUGAAUGCAGAGGCAGACAUAGGAACCUAGCUGUCUUUUACUGAGCAUAAUAUUAGAAAGAAUUGCGAAAGUAUAAAACAGUGGCACUCAACACUAUUUACAUUUUAGAAAAUAUACUUUUCUAAAUUAAAGCAUUUGUGUUAAUAUAUAACGGGUGUGUCAUGGCAAUUUGAAUGAGUUAAUAUCGGUGAAUAUUUUAAUAUUUUCUUAGUUUUAAUUACUCAUAUGGUAAAUAUUACUAGAUAUAACCCACAUAAACAAGACCCCUUUGGGAUUCUACUUUCCUUUUUUUCUUUGCUCAUGUUGUGUCUACUAGAUCCUUUCUAUUAGCAUUUAAAUAUACUCAAGUCCCAAAAUACUCUUAGCUCCUCUUCUAUAUACUUCUUCUCACCUUCCCUUCAAAAUCAAACACAUUCUCUCUGCUCUUGGCUUCCUGGUAAAAGCAAAUGUAGUCUUCCUUCUUCACUGGCAUCUCAUACUCAGUCGACUUGGACAACUCAUCAUCUUCUAUCCUGCCUUUCCAAGUAUGGAGUCACUCAAGUCUAAGUCCUAGGAUUUCUUCGUGUCUCAUUCUUUCUUCUGUCAAUCAGUUCACCCAUAUGUAGGCCUAUAUGAAGUCCAUCAAUAUUUACUUCUCUAUUGUAUUUCAUUUCACAUAAACACAUGCUUUUUUGCCUUCUCCCUUUUUCAUGUUACUAUAAAUAUUUAGUUGAAAACCACUGCUAUAAAUGAAAAUGCCUCAUCCAUCUUCUGUGUGGAUCUAUGAGCCAAAACGCAGCAUUAAACAGGGGGAAAGUGGAUUAGGUCCAAAGUUCUGCCAAUUAUAUUCCAUAUUGAUAUGUUUUUAAUGGAUAUACAAGGGUACAGACAAGACUUUGGAAAGGGCAGGCACUUCUGAUUUAUACAAAAGACUUAAGCUGCUGCUAGUGGAAACUGGUUGUGUAAGUGAAUUAAAACACAGUCCACUACAAAGUCCUAUACUUCCCUUGAAGAAAUUUAUAAGCUUCUGUUAUCAGUAGCAUAAAUCAGCCACACAACUACAUCAACCAAACCAAAUUAUAUAGAUUCUAAUAAGGAACCCUGUGGCUGGAAUAAUUCCAUAGAAACUUAACUGCUAGGUCUGUUUUGUUUUAUACCAAAAGUUUUCCCCAAUCUUGCUGUUAUAAAUGAUAAUUUCUUUGUUAUCAGGUCUUCUGGGACUCUCCUACAUCAAAUUCCACUUUUAGCCAUCAGUUUUAAAACGUUUCAUCAGUUGGACCUACCAAAUUUAAAGUUGGGAUUUUCUCAUCUCUGCUCAUACCAUUCCAACCCACAGUGAGGAAAAUUUCAUUUCUGGAUUCCAAUUGCUGCAGUCAUUUGCCUCUAUGUAUGGUAACUUUUAUAAAAACUGUUUGGACUCUUAAAGCCUGCCCUUUAAAGGUGGUUAUUUUCUUCUAAGUACUAUUUUUAGAAAAAUAUAUAGCUGCCACAAAGCUUCACAGUUAGGUAAGACUAGACUGCUGAAUCUCUAAGCACAUCAAACAGGCCAAGAACAAUGCCAAUAAAUUAUUUAUUCUCUGUCAAAGGUGCUAAAAUAUAGGAGUUCAAUAAGAAGCAUGAUUUUAUUUUUAAAAGGCAAAGAAUAUCUGGAGAACAUUUGGCAUAUUUCUGAAGCUCUUUGAAAACCACACUGCGGGAAGGAAAAGAUGCACCUAAUCUUGAGAGAGACUUCUGAGUGUAAAAAGGUGUGUGGGUACCUUAAAAUGAGUCAUUUUCUUUUGAUAUAGCAUCACCAUGAAGUAGAUAUCAUUCUGCUCUCUCAGUAGGUAGGACUAGUGAACUCAAGUAGGUUUAAGUGACAUGUCAAAGAUCACACAUGGCAUUUUAAUAUCACAAAAAUGAUAUUUUUGAGAUAUUUUCCAAUGCUCUUUAUUUAUUGUACCCAUUCUACCAUUAAGGAUAAGCCCAAAGUUUAAUGUCUUAAGAAGGAAAGGGUUGGUAUAGGGCAGAUCCUACCUAGAAUAAAGAGAUCAUUCCUCAGCUUUGACCCUCAAGGCUGAGUGUGUUUAAGCCCAUGGUGAAGUUAAAAAAUGUUCUCAUUUUUCUUUCCUCUUUUAUCUCUCUCUCUUUCAUUGGCAUCGUGCCCUGCAUCACCAAACCCAGACAUCUGGUAGUCAUCCUCAAUUCUCUAUUGAUUUUACUCAAUUCUUUCAAUUCUGUUGAUUUUACUUCCACAGAAUAGGAAAUAGGGACUUCACUUCUUACAGUGUUCAAUUCUGACAUCCUACAUCAGAGUCUCGUGAUUUCUAAGUUGGUUGCCAAAAAUCCUUUGAUGUUGUCCUUGUCUUCCAUUAUGUACUGCUCUGUAUUCUCCAUCAUCCUCUUUACCACAUUGGGAAUAAUCAUCAGAAACACAAAACUUAUGCUACCACGCAACCUCUAGUUAAACUAAUUCAAUUGUUCAGUUACCUAUAGAAUAAGGCCCAAAUUAAUUUGUAGAGAAAUAAAAUACCUUUGUGAUAUUGUUGCUGCCUCUCUUUCACUGCACUUUUGCCCUCCUCCUGUGCAUUUUGAAGCUACACCAAAUGACAAAGAGGUGCAAGAACACACACUAAUCUUUCUCAGCCAAAUGUGCAUGUUACUUGUUAAGUUUGUUCAGAGUGCCUCUGAUCAUGGGGGACUCUGAGCUUAAGUAAUAUGUACCCUAAGAUGUUUCCUGGACUCUGACUAGUCACCUCUUCUACCUCUCUUUCCAGAGUUGAACACUCCCUCUUUUGUCUCCCAUGGAAUUGUGGACACUCCUUUUCAUAAUUACCUAUGUUUGUAUCUUCAGCCAAACUAGAAGGCACUAGUUAUAUUUUAUUUUUAGCUCCACUUAAGAAAAAUCUGUCACUUGGAUGAAAACAGAAAAGAGAAGAUUACCAUGGCAUAAUUUUGACACUUCUGAAAACCCACAUCUGUCUGUGUGAUGUGAAGGUGGAGAUGUGCAGUAAACAAUUGGUCUUGUCUCGAUACUUUGGUCUCAAAUUUAGGAGACUGAUUAGCACUAGAGAUAGAGAUUUGGGAAUCAUCAGUGAUGGUAGCCAAGGUCGAGGUCAUAGGGAAAAAACUUAAAGAAAGGGAGCUAAAGUGGUCAAGACAGAAGAGAGUUUCCAGCAAAAGUGGAUGUCCAGCAAAGAUGAUAACUCAAAAGCACCCAUUAGAUUAGGUGUUUUGUUUAGGGAUAAUCUUAGUAGGAAUAUCAUUUUGUAAAGAUUUAUUAAUUGAUUUGAGAAAGAGAGAGCAUGAGCAAGGGGAGAGGUAGAGGGAGGAGAGAGAGAAUCCUCAAGCAGACUCUCCUCACUCAGGCACACUUCUGGUGGAAUAAUCUUAGUAGGAAAAUCACUUUUUAAAGGGAAGGGAAAGGGUGCCUGGAUGACUCAGUUGGUUAAGUCUCUGACUCUUGAUCUCAGCUCAGGUCUUGAUCUCAGGGCUAGGAGUUCAAGCCACACAUGCCCAGCAUGGAGCCUAUGUAAAAAAAGGAAAAAGAAAAAAAA
rnacentral:lncRNA from 1 species